GGUGUGGUAGUUCAGCUGGUUAGAAUACCUGCCUGUCACGCAGGGGGUCGCG
rnacentral:tRNA from 1 species